UGACUUAUAGGGCCCGUAAGUCUCGUUUACUUUCACUUUCGAUUUACCACUUCCGGGUACAUCGGCAGACUUAUUUACCGUUACGCAUAUAGGUAACCCGAAGAACUCGAGGGGUAUAGAAGUUAAAUUUGUUUCGGUCCUCUUCAGAUUUGAAGGAAUGGAUAGCACGGGUCAAAAAAUGCAGAUGUAUAGACAAGGAGGUAUAUGACAAGUAUAGAAUAUACAGUUGUUCAAUAUGGACUAUUAAUCAACUGUUUGCACUGCCUAUGAUCCUGAAAUAUCUAUACAUCAAAGAUAAAAAGGGAAAAGAUGAAGGAGGAUUUGUCCAUGAAGACCUUUAUUGCAACUACCAUCUUCCAGUUCCUUAAUUUGAGAAUGAUAUCAGAGAACACACAGUUACAGUGAAAUAUUAGUUUAAUAUAAGCCACUGAGAAUAGUCAAAUGUACUUUCCUGAAGAAGAUGAAUGACAUCCAGCACAAAAAUCUUAAUGUAUAAAGAGUAUGAUUUUAUGGUGUUUGACACUAUGAACAUGUUAAUGUCACAAUGAUAGAAACAGAGUAAAAUAUCCACAUUUCAUUGCAGUUUUAAGUAUUAAAACUAGAUACUCUAUAUAUACCAAAGCUGAUAACACACCAGAGAUAAGGUUUUUCAUGGAAUCACAGUAUAGUCAUAUGACAUUAUGGACAUUAAAUGACUAUGAAGUAAAGAUUAGCAAAAAUAUUAUAUAUCAUCUACUACUAAUAUUGUGAGGUAAUCAUUGAUAAGCUCACAAAUUUGCAUUCAAAGCUUUGAUAUCAAGCUGAACAUUUUUCAAUUAGAAUAUGAUUUAUAACUCUAUGAUAAUUUGUUCAUGUUAAUUUUCAAAGUCUUUACAUUUGUAAAAGGAAAUAUUCUUAUUCUUGUAUCAGUAGACAUUCACAGUGUAAAGUUACAUUGUCCAAAUAACUAAUAAUAAAUCCAAGUGCUUUCCUGAAGUUUUUCUUCCACUGGAAAAUCAGUGUGAUAUAUAUGCUAAGCAGUGCACUAUAAAUUGUGUAAAAAUAAAAGUUUAUUAAACUUA